AUUGAACGCUGGCGGCAGGCCUAACACAUGCAAGUCGAGCGGUAACACAGAGGAGCUUGCUCCUUGGGUGACGAGCGGCGGACGGGUGAGUAAUGCCUGGGGAUCUGCCCGAUAGAGGGGGAUAACUACGGGAAACUGUAGCUAAUACCGCAUAAUGUCUACGGACCAAAGUGGGGGCUCUUCGGACCUCAUGCUAUCGGAUGAACCCAGGUGGGAUUAGCUAGUUGGUGAGGUAAUGGCUCACCAAGGCGACGAUCUCUAACUGGUUUGAGAGAAUGACCAGUCACACUGGAACUGAGACACGGUCCAGACUCCUACGGGAGGCAGCAGUGGGGAAUAUUGCACAAUGGGCGCAAGCCUGAUGCAGCCAUGCCGCGUGUGUGAAGAAGGCCUUCGGGUUGUAAAGCACUUUCAGCGAGGAGGAAGGGCUACUAGUUAAUACCUAGUGGCAUUGACGUUACUCGCAGAAGAAGCACCGGCUAACUCCGUGCCAGCAGCCGCGGUAAUACGGAGGGUGCAAGCGUUAAUCGGAAUUACUGGGCGUAAAGCGCACGCAGGCGGUUUGUUAAGUCAGAUGUGAAAUCCCCGAGCUCAACUUGGGAACUGCAUUUGAAACUGGCAAGCUAGAGUCUUGUAGANGGGGGUAGAAUUCCAGGUGUAGCGGUGAAAUGCGUAGAGAUCUGGAGGAAUACNGGUGGCGAAGG
rnacentral:rRNA from 1 species